rnacentral:rRNA from 1 species
AGAGUUUGAUCAUGGCUCAGAUUGAACGCUGGCGGCAGGCCUAACACAUGCAAGUCGAGCGUGAAAGCCUUCGGGUGAGUAGAGCGGCGGACGGGUGAGUAACGCGUGGGAAUCUACCGAGUAGUGGGGGACAACCAGUGGAAACGCUGGCUAAUACCGCAUACGCCCUACGGGGGAAAGAGGGGGACUUUUAGCCUCUUGCUAUUCGAUGAGCCCGCGUAAGAUUAGCUAGAUGGUGGGGUAAUGGCCUACCAUGGCGACGAUCUUUAGCUGGUCUGAGAGGAUGAUCAGCCACACUGGGACUGAGACACGGCCCAGACUCCUACGGGAGGCAGCAGUGGGGAAUAUUGCACAAUGGGGGAAACCCUGAUGCAGCCAUGCCGCGUGUGUGAAGAAGGCCCUAGGGUUGUAAAGCACUUUCAACAGUGAGGAAAGGGUAGUAGUUAAUACCUGCUAUCUGUGACGUUAACUGUAGAAGAAGCACCGGCUAACUCCGUGCCAGCAGCCGCGGUAAUACGGAGGGUGCGAGCGUUAAUCGGAAUUACUGGGCGUAAAGCGCGCGUAGGCGGUUGUCUAAGCUAGAUGUGAAAGCCCCGGGCUUAACCUGGGAACUGCAUUUAGAACUGGGCGACUAGAGUACAGCAGAGGAGUGUGGAAUUUCAGGUGUAGCGGUGAAAUGCGUAGAGAUCUGAAGGAACAUCAGUGGCGAAGGCGACACUCUGGGUUGAUACUGACGCUGAGGUGCGAAAGCGUGGGGAGCAAACAGAAUUAGAUACCCUAGUAGUCC